rnacentral:rRNA from 1 species
GUGCCAGCCGCCGCGGUAAUACGGGGGGAGCAAGCGUUGUUCGGAAUCACUGGGCGUAAAGGGCGUCUAGGCUGCUUGGUAAGUGGGAUGUGAAAUGCCCCGGCUCACCCGGGGACCUGCAUCCCAAACUGCCAAGCUUGAGUAUGGGAGAGGAUGAGGGAAUUCCUGGUGUAGCGGUGAAAUGCGUAGAUAUCAGGAGGAACACCGGUGGCGAAGGCGCUCAUCUGGCCCAAUACUGACGCUGAAGCGCGAAAGCUAGGGGAGCAAACGGGAUUAGAUACCCGCGUAGUCC